rnacentral:rRNA from 1 species
CGUGAGUAACCUGCCCUGGAGUGGGGAAUAACACAGUGAAAGUUGUGCUAAUACCGCAUAAUGCAGUUGAGUCGCAUGGCUCUGACUGCCAAAGAUUUAUCGCUCUGGGAUGGACUCGCGUCUGAUUAGCUGGUUGGCGGGGUAACGGCCCACCAAGGCGACGAUCAGUAGCCGGACUGAGAGGUUGGCCGGCCACAUUGGGACUGAGACACGGCCCAGACUCCUACGGAAGGCAGCAG